ensembl:snRNA U2 U2 spliceosomal RNA
UUCACCUUAAAAUAUUUAAAAAUAAUUUUAUCAGUUUAAUAUCUGAUACGUCCUCUAUCUGAGGACAAUAUAUUAAAUGGAUUUUUUGGGGCAGGGAGUUGGAAUAAGAGCUUGCUCCAUCCACUCCACGCAUCGACCUGGUACUGCAGUACUUCCAGGAAUGGUGCACCAAAA